AGAAAAUUAGUUAAAUUAUAACAUUAGCUUGUCGUGCUAAAAUUAUCAUAAGAUAUUUUCUU
rnacentral:tRNA from 1 species